rnacentral:tRNA from 1 species
GAAGGCAUAGCUUAGUGGUAGAGAGCUUGCCCAGCAUGCGUGAGGUCCUGGGUUUCAUCCCCAGUACCUCCA